rnacentral:rRNA from 1 species
AGAGUUUGAUCAUGGCUCAGAUUGAACGCUGGCGGCAGGCCUAACACAUGCAAGUCGAACGGUAGCACAGAGAGCUUGCUCUCGGGUGACGAGUGGCGGACGGGUGAGUAAUGUCUGGGAAACUGCCUGAUGGAGGGGGAUAACUACUGGAAACGGUAGCUAAUACCGCAUAACGUCGCAAGACCAAAGAGGGGGACCUUCGGGCCUCUUGCCAUCAGAUGUGCCCAGAUGGGAUUAGCUAGUAGGUGGGGUAACGGCUCACCUAGGCGACGAUCCCUAGCUGGUCUGAGAGGAUGACCAGCCACACUGGAACUGAGACACGGUCCAGACUCCUACGGGAGGCAGCAGUGGGGAAUAUUGCACAAUGGGCGCAAGCCUGAUGCAGCCAUGCCGCGUGUAUGAAGAAGGCCUUCGGGUUGUAAAGUACUUUCAGCGGGGAGGAAGGUGUUGCGGUUAAUAACCGCAGCAAUUGACGUUACCCGCAGAAGAAGCACCGGCUAACUCCGUGCCAGCAGCCGCGGUAAUACGGAGGGUGCAAGCGUUAAUCGGAAUUACUGGGCGUAAAGCGCACGCAGGCGGUCUGUCAAGUCGGAUGUGAAAUCCCCGGGCUCAACCUGGGAACUGCAUUCGAAACUGGCAGGCUAGAGUCUUGUAGAGGGGGGUAGAAUUCCAGGUGUAGCGGUGAAAUGCGUAGAGAUCUGGAGGAAUACCGGUGGCGAAGGCGGCCCCCUGGACAAAGACUGACGCUCAGGUGCGAAAGCGUGGGGAGCAAACAGGAUUAGAUACCCUGGUAGUCCACGCCGUAAACGAUGUCGACUUGGAGGUUGUGCCCUUGAGGCGUGGCUUCCGGAGCUAACGCGUUAAGUCGACCGCCUGGGGAGUACGGCCGCAAGGUUAAAACUCAAAUGAAUUGACGGGGGCCCGCACAAGCGGUGGAGCAUGUGGUUUAAUUCGAUGCAACGCGAAGAACCUUACCUACUCUUGACAUCCAGAGAACUUUCCAGAGAUGGAUUGGUGCCUUCGGGAACUCUGAGACAGGUGCUGCAUGGCUGUCGUCAGCUCGUGUUGUGAAAUGUUGGGUUAAGUCCCGCAACGAGCGCAACCCUUAUCCUUUGUUGCCAGCGGUCCGGCCGGGAACUCAAAGGAGACUGCCAGUGAUAAACUGGAGGAAGGUGGGGAUGACGUCAAGUCAUCAUGGCCCUUACGAGUAGGGCUACACACGUGCUACAAUGGCGCAUACAAAGAGAAGCGAACUCGCGAGAGCAAGCGGACCUCAUAAAGUGCGUCGUAGUCCGGAUUGGAGUCUGCAACUCGACUCCAUGAAGUCGGAAUCGCUAGUAAUCGUAGAUCAGAAUGCUACGGUGAAUACGUUCCCGGGCCUUGUACACACCGCCCGUCACACCAUGGGAGUGGGUUGCAAAAGAAGUAGGUAGCUUAACCUUCGGGAGGGCGCUUACCACUUUGUGAUUCAUGACUGGGGUGAAGUCGUAACAAGGUAACCGUAGGGGAACCUGCGGUUGGAUCACC